rnacentral:rRNA from 1 species
UCCUAUCAGGCUUAGACGGUAGGGUAUUGGCCUACCGUGGCUAUGACGGGUAACGGGGAAUUAGGGUUCGAUUCCGGAGAGGGAGCCUGAGAAACGGCUACCACAUCUAAGGAAGGCAGCAGGCGCGCAAAUUACCCAAUCCUAAUACAGGGAGGUAGUGACAAGAAAUAACAAUACAGAACCUUACGGUUUUGUAAUUGGAAUGAGUUAAGUAUAAACCCCUUAACAAGUAUCAAUUGGAGGGCAAGUCUGGUGCCAGCAGCCGCGGUAAUUCCAGCUCCAAUAGCGUAUAUUAAAGUUGUUGCAGUUAAAAAGCUCGUAGUUAAUCUUCUGUUAAUUUUUAUAUAUAAUAUCACGAUAUUUAUAUAAUAUUAACAUAAUUCAUAUUACUUUUUAGUAUAUGAAACUUUACUUUGAGAAAAUUAGAGUGCUUAAAGCAGGCUAUUGCCUUGAAUACUCCAGCAUGGAAUAAUAUUAAGGAUUUUUAUUCUUCUUAUUGGUUCUAGAAUAAAAAUGAUGAUUAAUAGGGACAGUGGGGUCAUUU